GUGUUAACAAUAGUUACUGCGUUAGACUUUGAAAAAAGUUGUCAUGGCUAAAAUAUUGAAUGCUUUAUAACGCUAAAUAAUUGCAUUGAUAUUAAACCAGCAUUUACACCGAUAUGUCAUUGACCAAUUAUGAGUAUAUAAUAAAUACUGUGAACACCUCGAUACAUGGUUGACAGCUUUAAAAUAAAUUUAAAUAGGAUCCACUGAACCAUUUAUCCUUGGAUCUGUUAACAUGGCUGAGCAUGGAAACAUAUAGUCUGGGUCCAUUACCCUGCUUGAGCCAAUAUAAUGCAACCAUAUGCUUAGUAAGAUUCAUUUUCAGUGAAUUUGUACUAUUUAGUCCCUACAGUAACAUUAGUUAUGAUACAAAAUAUUGCAGAACACCAACACACACAUCAGGCUAAAAUGGCAGUUCUUGAGAUACACAGCUAAGUUUGAGAAUCAAUUUCAACUUUUGGUCUAAAAUUUGGAAUACCUUAUUCAGGGAAUAACCCUAUAUAUGUUUCCUACUACUCAUACACUUCUCUGCUUAGCUGUCCUUUUAAAUAUAACCUUCUGCUCUCACAUAGCUAACCACACAGAUUACAAAAACAUCUUUCAUUACUCUACAUACACCCACCUGUUUCUUGUAAACCUUGUCUCAUAAUAUAUUACCAUUCACAUAUCCC